CCCUUCGGUGGACGCUAAGACAGGUGGUGCAUGGCUGUCGUCAGCUCGUGUCGUGAGAUGUUGGGUUAACGUCCCGCAACGAGCGCAACCCUUGUUAUUAGUUGCCAGCAUUAAGUUGGGCACUCUAAUGAGACUGCCGGUGACAAACCGGAGGAAGGUGGGGAUGACGUCAAGUCAUCAUGCCCCUUAUGACCUGGGCUACACACGUGCUACAAUGGGCAGUACAACGAGAAGCAAGCCUGCGAAGGCAAGCGAAUCUCUGAAAGCUGUUCUCAGUUCGGACUGCAGUCUGCAACUCGACUGCACGAAGCUGGAAUCGCUAGUAAUCGCGGAUCAGCACGCCGCGGUGAAUACGUUCCCGGGUCUUGUACACACCG
rnacentral:rRNA from 1 species